rnacentral:misc_RNA from 1 species
AAGUCGUAACAAGGUUUCCGUAGGUGAACCUGCGGAAGGAUCAUUAACAAAUCGAUUGUGGAUUCUGAGAUGGUUGUAAAAGGCCAUUUCGGAUGAACACACAUAAACCCGAACCUGUGCAGCAAUGCCAGGCUAGGUGUGCAAUGGUAAAACAUUGUACGGUAAAAGGUCAGCUCGGUAUUCCCGUGAUGACCUUGAGCCACAUAGACGCUUGUAUGUUUGACAGAGUUUAGUCGACACUUUAAAAAAUGACAACUUUUAACAAUGGAUCUCUUGGCUCUU